CCCUUAGAUGUUCUGGGCCGCACGCGUGCUACACUGAGUGGAUCAGCGGGUCAGGUUGCGCGAAAGUGUUUCCUAAUCUUGAAAUCCGCUCGUGAUGGGGAUUGACGGUUGCAAUUUUCUGUCAUGAACGAGGAAUACCUUGUAAGCGCGGGUCAUCAUCCCGCGCUGAGUACGUCCCUGCCCUUUGUACACACCGCCCGUCGCUACUACCGAUUGAACGGUUUAGUGAGGGCCUCGGAUUGGUCUCGGCCCGCUCUUUACCGGGCGGCGCCGUUGGUCGAGAAGACGCUCGAACUUGAUCGUUUAGAGGAAGUAAAAGUCGUAACA
rnacentral:rRNA from 1 species